UUAGUACUCCCUCCGUCCAAAAAUACUUGUCAUCAAAAUGGAUAAAAAGGAAUGUAUCUAGAACUAAAAUACGUCUAAAUACAUCUCUUUCUAUCCAUUUUGGUGACAAGUAUUUCCGGACGGAGGGAGUACAAG
rfam:Triticum aestivum genome assembly, contig: Triticum_aestivum_CS42_TGACv1_scaffold_194762_3AL